rnacentral:rRNA from 1 species
CCUACGGGGGGCAGCAGUGAGGAAUAUUGGUCAAUGGACGAGAGUCUGAACCAGCCAAGUAGCGUGAAGGAUGACUGCCCUAUGGGUUGUAAACUUCUUUUAUAUGGGAAUAAAAUGUUCCACGUGUGGGAUUUUGUAUGUACCAUAUGAAUAAGGAUCGGCUAACUCCGUGCCAGCAGCCGCGGUAAUACGGAGGAUCCGAGCGUUAUCCGGAUUUAUUGGGUUUAAAGGGAGCGUAGGUGGAUGGUUAAGUCAGUUGUGAAAGUUUGCGGCUCAACCGUAAAAUUGCAGUUGAAACUGGCAGUCUUGAGUACGGUAGAGGUGGGCGGAAUUCGUGGUGUAGCGGUGAAAUGCUUAGAUAUCACGAAGAACUCCGAUUGCGAAGGCAGUUCACUGGACUGCAACUGACACUGAGGCUCGAAAGUGUGGGUAUCAAACAGGAUUAGAUACCCCGGUAGUC